rnacentral:tRNA from 1 species
CUAAUUAGUUUAAUGAAUAUCAAAUUGUGAUUUUGAAGGUUUAUAUUAGGUA